rnacentral:rRNA from 1 species
CGGGGUGCAGCAGGCGCGAAAACUUUACAAUGCUGGAAACAGCGAUAAGGGGACCUCGAGUGCCAGGUUACAAAUCUGGCUGUCGUGAUGCCUAAAAAGCAUUGCAUAGCAAGGGCCGGGCAAGACCGGUGCCAGCCGCCGCGGUAACACCGGCGGCUCGAGUGGUAACCGUUAUUAUUGGGUCUAAAGGGUCUGUAGCCGGCCGGAUAAGUCUCUUGGGAAAUCCAGCAGCUCAACUGUUGGGCUAUCAGGAGAUACUGUCAGGCUCGAGGCCGGGAGAGGUGAGAGGUACUUCAGGGGUAGGGGGGAAAUCCUGUAAUCCCUGAAGGACCCCCAGGGGGGAAGGGGUUUCACCAGAACGGACCUGACGGCAAGGGAAGAAAGCCAGGGGCACGAACCGGAUUAGAAACCCGGGGAGUUCCAGCGGUAAAAGAUACUCGGCAGGUGUCGGC